rnacentral:misc_RNA from 1 species
UCUUCGUGAUUCAGUCACGUGAUAUCAAGAUGGCGUCUGAACCACCCCCAUUUGACGAGGAAACAGAUCAGAAGGACGAAGAUGAUCUAUUUUCUGACGCCAAGGAGCAAAAGUCUGAGCCAUCACCUAGUGAAGAGCCAGCAAGUUUGCCCAUCAAUGAUGAGGAUGCUGGAAUUAAAGAAAAAGAGGAGGAGGACUUGUUUGCUGGAGGUGGAGAUGAGGUGAAGCUGGAUGACUCAGACAAUGAGGAGGAGGAAGUCCCCCCUGUAGCAGCUGCCGUGCCAGAGAAGGAAGCAGCUGAACCCGUUGUCGGUGCCGUCAGCCCCAAACCUGAACCAACCCCUCAGAUCAGUGUUUCCCAGUCCUCUACAGCAUCGUCAAAAUUGUCAGGGACGACAAAGAGCUCUCGAGAUGAGGUGGAUGUUGAUGAUGAGGAUGAAGGCACCAUAGAGAUUCGGGUGAUGGAGCCACAGAAGAUGGGUGAUGGCAUCGGCGCAUACAUGGUGUACCGAGUUGUAACUAAAACCAGCAUUCCAGCAUUCCGCAAUCCAGAGUUGAGUGUUUUGCGGAGGUUCAGUGACUUCCUGGGUCUACAUGCCAGGCUCCAGGAGAAAAAUGUCAAGAUGGGAAUCAUUGUCCCCCCAGCACCAGAGAAAAGCGUCGUUGGUAUGACGAAGAUCAAGAUGUCCAAGGAAGAGUCGGGUUCUUCUGACUUUGUGGAGAGGAGACGAGCAGCACUUGAAAGGUACUUGAAUCGCACAGCUCAGCACCCAGUUCUGAGGAGUGACCCUGACCUCCAGGACUUCCUGGAACGGGACGGGGAGCUGCCAAAGUCGACCAGCACCUCGGCUCUCAGCGGUGCCGGGGUCAUGCGGCUCUUCCACAAGAUGGGGGAUGCUGUUGAGAAAAUUACUUUCAAGAUGGAUGAAACUGAUGAGUCAAUAGGCCUUUAUCUGCAUACUUAUUUUUGCUCAAUCGUCCCUCGCUCCCCAUCGUGUGGCGGCCAGUGGAGCUACCAGAUGGAGUGGUUUGAGGAGAAACAGCAACAGAUUGAGGCCUUGGACCAACAGCUCCGUAAACUCCACUCCAGUGUUGAGGCCCUCUCCAUGCACAGGAAAGAGCUAAGCAUGACAACGGCCGUGUUUGCCAAGAGUGCUGCCAUGUUGGGGAGUGUGGAGGAACACACGGCUCUGUCACGGGCCUUGUCCCAGCUGGCCGAGACGGAGGAGAAGAUCGAGCAGCUGCACAGAGAACAGGCAGAGCAUGACUUCUUCACCAUGGCUGAACUCAUGAAGGACUACAUCUCCCUCAUAGGAGCAGUCAAGGAGGUGUUUCAUGAGCGCUACAAGCUGUACAAGAACUGGAAGGAUGCUGAGGUGGUCCUGGGGAAGAAACGCGAGAAUAAGGCUAAACUGGAGGUGCAACACAAGACAGACAAGAUCUCACAGGCACAGCAGGAGAUCACAGAGUAUGAACAAAAGGUAGAGAAAGGCCAAGAGGAUUUUGAGAAGAUCUCUGACACAAUAAGGAAAGAGAUUCGCCGCUUUGAAAAGUAUCGGGUCAUAGACUUCAAGAACAGUGUAGUGAAAUACUUGGAAGCUCUGAUGGAGAACCAACAGAAGAUGAUAAAGUUCUGGGAAACAUUCCUGCCGGAGGCCAAAGCUAUUGCAUGAUACCCCCGGUGUUCGGAGACUGUACAGUGGACAUCUACUACAAUAAUCAAUAUUUAAUUUACAUUGUCCUUAAGUCAUCAAGCUUGUUUUCAAGCUAGUCAGUGAGUCUGGUUUUGUACUGCAUAACAACUUGAUCCCAGGAGCUCUGCUGGAGUCCGUCACUGACCCUGGAGUGCUUGCUGGCAGUCUGUCUUACUGACUCAGUGUCCUCCACAAUAUAUAUUGUACCAGCGAAGAGGCCCCACAAAUAGUACCAUCAACUACAACAUUGUCCCAUGGUUGGGAUUCCUGUUUCAAAUCUGUUCACAGAUUUGUUAAGAUUUACAAGUUUUCUUUAUGCUGUCCAUUUCAAGGUGUAGAUUGUCAACAUUUGAACUGAAAUCUUAUGGACCUUUUGGAUACAAGUUGCUGGACAUACAUUUGCCUUAUUUAGUUCCUAGACUAUGCCGAAGGUUUAAUGAUGCAGUCAUUCUUCUGUCUGAUCAAUAAGUACAAAUAUGUGAUAUUUUAUAUUCUUCAUAACAUUCAGUUUAUGUUUCUGAUUGAUAGUGAAAUAUUAAACAAGGUGAACACUCUUGAAAUGAACCAACUUCUCACUGGUAGCAACAGGAUUAGCUUUUCUCUGCGGGCAAAUAAUUCUACACCUGCUUCAUUUAGUUUCACAGGAAUGUAGCAACAUGUGUGUUAAUGUCAUAAUAGAGCACGGCAAGACCUGAAUCCCUCCUUGCUUGUGUUGUCUCCCUGUCUCCAUGAUUAGCAGGGUCUUGUCAGAUACAGUCUUACUUCUGGCGGCAUUGUGUCGGACUAUUCUACUGUUAAUCCACAUGAUUGUAUGUUAUUGUAGACCUGCACUGGUAGCAGAAAUGGCUUCAUAAUAUACCAUAUAUAAAUGUCCUCACUAGUUCACAGGUUUGUAUAUACUGAAUUCCACCAUGCCCCAUGGGUGGAUGACUUCCAAAUGUAGGGACAACAUCCCACGGUGGUGACAUGUAUGCACUGGUGAUGGUGGCCGUUGUGUGUACAGACUGUGAAGUAUUGCCGAUGUACACAGGAGACAGGAAGCUAGGCAGGCAGGCAGGAGGGUUCAUGCUGCACCUUCUUUACAUAUCCCUGUAACAACACUGUUCAUAGUCUCACUCCCAUCUUCCCGAGGCAAGAGGGUUAACUGACUUUAAAAGUCCAGUUUCCACCCUUGCCGAACAAGGCUUAAAUUCCUUGGCUUGAUCUUAGUGCCACAAGUGGCUAUUACGAGGUUAUGUCCCUUCUAUGCCUUUCCUAUGGACCAAUCAGAUUCCAUAUACUCUCAUAUCAUUUGCAUCAGCUUCAAACAAAAUGGCAGCCCCCAGCCAAGAGGAUCUGAUCGAUACUCAAGAUCUAUUUUGUGAUAAGACAGGUCUUACAUCGCGAAGUGCCUCAAAUCACGUGAGCACCUUGAUUGAAAACAUGAAAAGAUUUGGAAAAUAUCUCUUGACAACGAAUUGGCAGUGCACAUGUUUUGCUAAUCCUACAAUUGACCAAAAUCUGCAUGACAGUUUACGAACUGGAUUUUGAUUUCAAUGUGCGAUUUUGAUUGGACUAUGCAUAGACUUGUUAGUCCAGCCAAAUUCUAACUCCAUAAUACCAGCCUUGUUUGACAAGGGUCGAAAAUUGACUUUUAUAGUCAGUUAACUCCCUUGCCUCGGGAAGAUGUCUCACUCCUUGCACAUCCACAACAACCAAACAAUGAUUGAGAUGCCCAGUGUCCAUGAUGUGCACAGAUUACUGUGGGAUGUAGCUCUGCACGGGAGAGUCCAGGGAAGGCGGGCCUAUCACAACUAACAUGUAAACCAUCAUGAGGUUGUGUUCACGUCAUGAUAUAGGUACUGUGACGUGUCAACCAUCGUGGGUUUCACCGAAGUGGUAAACGUCUUAGACCUGCAUCACUUCGGGCUUUCCUCCUACAUUAAGCCGUGAUAUAACUGGAAUAAAGUUAAAAGCGGAGUUAAAACCCAAGUCACUCACGUCAUGAUAUAGGUACUGUGACGUGUCAACCAUCAUGAGGUUGUGUUCACGUCAUGACAUAGGUACUGUGACGUGUCAACCAUCAUGAGGUUGUGUUCACGUCAUGACAUAGGUACUGUGACGUGUCAACCAUCAUGAGGUUGUGUUCACGUCUUGACAUAGGUACUGUGAUGUGUCAACCAUCAUGCGGUUGUGUUCACGUCAUGACAUAGGUACUGUGACGUGUCAACCAUCAUGAGGUUGUGUUCACGUCUUGACAUAGGUACUGUGAUGUGUCAACCAUCAUGCGGUUAUGUUUACGUCAUGACAUAGGUACUGUGACGUGUCAACCAUCAUGAGGUUGUGUUCACGUCUUGACAUAGGUACUGUGACCUGUCAACCAUCAUGAGGUUGUGUUCACGUUAUGACAUAGGUACUGUGACGUGUCAACCAUCAUGAGGUUGUGUUCACGUCAUGACAUAGGUACUGUGACGUGUCAACCAUCAUGAGGUUGUGUUCACGUCUUGACAUAGGUACUGUGUGCAGCCACCUUUUCAAGACCCUGGAGUUGCCUCUGCUCUGAUGAUGAUAAAUUGGGAAGAUGUUGCGUCUCAUUCAUUUCUCAGCAGUAGAUUUAUGAUAGUCAAUAUACAUUUUAGGAAAGGAUUUUCUUUGUACAAAUUGUAUUUGAACCUGAUUUUAGAAUGAUUUGUUGUAAAUCUUUUAUGAUAUGAAUCAAGGACUUUUUUUAUGAAAUGAGCUAAGUCACGGUACUUCCACCAACUGUGCAAUUGUUUGUGGACUGAAACAUACUCUACAGUUACGGGGGUUUGAUGUUAGUGUGUCAGGACUGCUCUCUAGACGGUGUAGACGUCACACAUUUCACAGCACCUGUGUCUAGCAUGUGUAUUAUUUAGCUGUGUGUGAGUCUGUGGCACUUCUGUGACUUGUACAUUUCACGCCACCCUGUACAUGUUACAUGUGUACAUCUCAUGUUGAAUGAACAAUGUAUUUGUUACAA